CCUACGGGAGGCAGCAGUAAGGAAUAUUGGACAAUGCCCGCAAGGGUGAUCCAGCCAUGCCGCGUGCAGGAAGAAGGCCCUAUGGGUCGUAAACUGCUUUUACACUGGAGAAAACCUCCCUUCGUGAAGGGAGCUGAUAGUAUGGUGAGAAUAAGCAUCGGCUAACUUCGUGCCAGCAGCCGCGGUAAGACGAAGGAUGCAAGCGUUAUCCGGAUUCAUUGGGUUUAAAGGGAGCGUAGGUGGACUGAUAAGUCAGUGGUGAAAUCUUCGAGCUUAACUCGGAAAUUGCCAUUGAUACUGUUAGUCUUGAGUACAGUUGCUGUGGGCGGAAUAUGACAUGUAGUGGUGAAAUACAUAGAGAUGUCAUAGAACACCGAUUGCGAAGGCAGCUCACAAAGCUGUAACUGACACUGAGGCUCGAAAGUGCGGGGAUCAAACAGGAUUAGAUACCCUGGUAGUCCGCACUGUAAACGAUGAUUACUCGCUGCUAGAGGGCAACUUUUAGUGGCUUAGCGAAAGCGAUAAGUAAUCCACCUGGGGAGUACGCCGGCAACGGUGAAACUCAAAGGAAUUGACGGCGNGAGAGNGCGAGGCGACGACGAGGGAGAGG
rnacentral:rRNA from 1 species